GUCUACGGCCAUACCACCCUGAACGCGCCCGAUCUUGUCUGAUCUCGGAAGCUAAGCAGGGUCGGGCCUGGUUAGUACUUGGAUGGGAGAAGAGAAGAAGUAAAUU
rnacentral:rRNA from 1 species